GGUGAUGAACUUCAAUGGUGGAAUGCUUGUCUGACAUACAUGAGGCCCUGGGUUCAAUCUCCAGCACCA
rnacentral:tRNA from 1 species